CUGAACUUAAGCAUAUCAAUAAGCGGAGGAAAAGAAACCAACAGGGAUUGCCUCAGUAACGGCGAGUGAAGCGGCAAAAGCUCAAAUUUGAAAUCUGCUCUUCGGCGCCCGAGUUGUAAUUUGCAGAGGAUGCUUCGGCGUGGCCGCGGUCUAAGUCCCCUGGAACGGGGUGUCGCAGAGGGUGAGAAUCCCGUCUUCGGCCGGCCGUUCGCCCAUGUGAAGCUCCUUCGACGAGUCGAGUUGUUUGGGAAUGCAGCUCUAAAUGGGUGGUAAAUUUCAUCUAAAGCUAAAUAUUGGUCGGAGACCGAUAGCGCACAAGUAGAGUGAUCGAAAGAUGAAAAGCACUUUGAAAAGAGAGUUAAACAGCAUCGUGAAAUUGUUGAAAGGGAAGCGUUUGCGACCAGAGUCGGCCGCGGGGGUUCAGCGGGCAUUCGUUGCCCGUGCACUCCCCGCGGGCGGGCCAGCGUCGGUUUCGACGGCCGGUCAAAGGCCCCCGGAAUGUGUCGCCUCUCGGGGCGUCUUAUAGCCGGGGGUGCAAUGCGGCCAGUCGGGACCGAGGAACGCGCUUCGGCACGGACGCUGGCUU
rnacentral:rRNA from 1 species